CCUAAGUGCGACCAUAAAUUUCCGCGCUAAAUUUUGAUCGUCCGUCUUAUUUGAAAUUUUUUUUAUAAUUAAUAUUUUUAUUGUUAUAAGAUGAUAAAACAUGAAUAGUAUUUUAUGUUUUCAAUUUUUUUUAAAUUUUUUUUAAAUAAGAUGGACGGUUAAGAUUAGAUACGGAAAACCAUAGCUACACUUAAA
rfam:Oryza glumipatula chromosome 1, whole genome shotgun sequence.